GCGGCAGUAGCUCAGUGGUAGCGCCCCGCUUCGCAUGCGGGGAGACCUGGGUUCGAUUCCCGGUUGCUUCC
rfam:Toxocara canis scaffold129, whole genome shotgun sequence.